UCCUGGACGCUCAGUCCGGGUCGAGUGUCAGCCGUGCCUUCCAGUCCCCUGUCCAUCACGGCCAGCGGCGCGAGUCUUUCCUGUACCGCUCGGACAGCGACCAUGAGUCUUUACCCAAGGCUGUGUCCCGGACCUCCUCGGCGGCCAGCGACCUACUUGGAGAAGACAUGAUUGUCACGCCCUUCGCCCAGGUCCUGGCCAGUCUCAGGACGGUCCGUGGCAACGUGGCUGCCCUGGGCAGUGUCACCAGGCAGGUGCUUCUUGGGACCCCUUCACACAGCAGCCAACAGGAGGCCUCAGCAGGUAUCACCCCACCCCCAACCCGAGGCCAGCUGUGAAAGUCCUCCCAUCCUGCCCUUGGAUUGUGGCUCAUCGCAAACAGGCUCCACCCCCCAAACCUACAUUUGCACACAGAGCCCCCCCCACACACACACAUUACAGACCAGAGAGGGUCCUGGGCCUCUGUCUGGCGUGACAGUCACUCGCAGGAGGUUGUGGAGCUGGGAGCUGUGGUCCUAGGCUUUGGGGGUUGAGGUGCAGA